GUAAAUCUUUCCCUGUUCCUGAGGGGAACACCCGUGAAGAGUACCGGGGUCGGCAUUUACAAAGCGGAUUCAGUGACAAUUUAUUAAUCAACUUAAGUUUAGUGAUUGUUUUUGCAAUGGGAUUGUGCAACCCAUCAAUAAAAACAUAUUGCCGGUGGUUGGAGAUUCGAGAGAUGGCUCUCAUUCUUGUGCUGAGCGAUGAACGCCGUGACGCUGAGUGCCAAGAAGCGGUAAGCGAAGGGGGUGAAAAUUUUGGACCAAAUGGAGGACAAAGUGAAUUAUUCUUGCCCACCAAAAUGGAGCUAAUGACAGCACGAAUCAUUCUCAAGUGGCAGAUUCCUACCAGAUUUGGUGUAGAAAUGUUCUAUUUCGUUGAAUUAAGUUUGGUAGGCCCAAAAUAGGUACUAGGCCUAAAAUAGGGACAAAUACCCUAAUAAACUUUGCAUAUUCGAGUUUGGACUGUAUUUGCUUCAUCAUAGAUUUCUAGUAUUUUCAGUGUGAUUUGGAGUCAAUGAACGGACUGUUUGUCCUUGGCGCGUUUUUUGGAGGUAAGCACUUUUUCUCAAACAGAGUGAAUUUUAACGGCACAGGAAGGGAUACGCUACAUUUGUUUGGAGCGUGUGAAAUACAUUUAUGAUAGAACCAUAGAUUUGAAAUUAAAAGAUGAAAAACUUUUCUAUUAAAUGAAUUGAAAUAAAAAAAA